rnacentral:rRNA from 1 species
AGAGUUUGAUCAUGGCUCAGAAUCAACGCUGGCGGCGUGCCUAACACAUGCAAGUCGAACGAGAAAGUGGAGCAAUCCAUGAGUAAAGUGGCGCACGGGUGAGUAACACGUGACUAACCUACCCUUGAGUGGGGGAUAACCUGGGGAAACCUUGGCUAAUACCGCAUAACACCUACGGGUCAAAGGAGCAAUUCGCUUAAGGAGGGGGUCGCGGCAGAUUAGUUAGUUGGCGGGGUAAUGGCCCACCAAGACAGUGAUCUGUAUCCGGCCUGAGAGGGCGCACGGACACACUGGAACUGAAACACGGUCCAGACUCCUACGGGAGGCAGCAGUGGGGAAUUUUGCGCAAUGGGGGAAACCCUGACGCAGCAACGCCGCGUGGAGGAUGAAGUCCCUUGGGACGUAAACUCCUUUCGACCGGGACGAUUAUGACGGUACCGGAAGAAGAAGCCCCGGCUAACUUCGUGCCAGCAGCCGCGGUAAUACGAGGGGGGCGAGCGUUGUUCGGAAUUAUUGGGCGUAAAGGGUGCGUAGGCGGUUCGGUAAGUUUCGUGUGAAAUCUUCGGGCUCAACUCGAAGCCUGCACGAAAUACUGCCGGGCUUGAGUGUGGGAGAGGUGAGUGGAAUUUCCGGUGUAGCGGUGAAAUGCGUAGAUAUCGGAAGGAACACCUGUGGCGAAAGCGGCUCACUGGACCACAACUGACGCUGAUGCACGAAAGCUAGGGGAGCAAACAGGAUUAGAUACCCCCGUAGUCC